UGCAGUUUUUUGCCGGUUUUCGUCGAUUUUACGACGGUGUUUAUUGUGUAAAUGUGUCCGGUGGUGUUUUACGUUUCGUCCAACUAAAUUGUGUGACUUCGACGCCGGAUUUUUCUGCAGUCUGAUGUUAUUUCGGACAUUUUAGAUGACAUCUAUAAUAGUUUGGUUCCACAAUUCAAUGAAGAGAGAAUAAGUGCAUUUUAAAGAGUUAAGUCCCGGAGUAGACUGGUUAACCGGACAACUGGCAACGCAAAG